CAUAUUCGAGUGCAGUGAAGCCUCGCAUGGAGGACCGCAGUCGUGGCCGCAGGCAGCUGCCAGGCGACAACAGCCAAGUGUAAAUUUCACUUGAACUGAUAAUUUCACUCAAUUUGUGUGCGCUGAUGAGCAAAGUUUUCCCAUUUGCAUGGGGCUACGUGGGGCAACUGCUACGACUCCUCCUCCAGGGCCAAUGGGUGGGAAGUUUUCAUCUACGGCUGGCGCUGCCAUUUCUUUUUGUCGUACUACUCCUGGUCCCGCUUCUCGUCGUCGUCGUCGAGGCUGACUUGAAGGUGCCAAUUAGGGAUUUCCGCCUCAAUUACUUUCGCGAGCACACGAAAAGCAAGUUUGUAUGAUUUUCGCAUGACAAACUUAGGACUGGCUCUCUGCUCCAAGUCCCAAGCCUGAACCUGUUUCCUUUCCCAGAGUAUUUGCCUCCUUCCUUUAAAGUGUAAUUGCAGGAGCAGCGCCCUCCCAAAUGUUGUGUGUGCGUGAUAAAAAACUCGUUUGCAUUUUACAUGUUUCAUCCAAAAGGUGGAGAGAGCUAGAAUACUCGAAGUACAUAGUUCAUGUGGCUUUCCAUCGAAAUGGAAAUGGAAAUGGAAAUGAAAAAGGCAGAACUCUCAGGGACAGGGCAAAGUAAUUUGAAUUUCCUGUGAACGCGUUUCUAGUUCAUUGAUUGGUUUUUCGAAUAUGUUAAUACAUUUCCCAAGUCUCUGAACAUGAUGUACUGUGCAAACACAUAAGCAGAGAGAUU
rnacentral:lncRNA from 1 species